CAAUAUAUCUCGGAAUGGUUAUGAAAAUGCCAUAGUAGGUAGAUAUGGUGGCUGUUUUGAGGGAGGCAUUUGGUGGGUUUGUGUACUGGCGAGAAUUGCGCGGCACUAGAGAGGCUAGCAAUGGUGGAAGGUGAAAGUGCAUACUUGUUGCGAAAGUUUUUAUUAGUAAUCGAAACAAAGUGCUAAACGCAUACUCCUAGGGGAAGGGUUGGUAGGUGUUAACCAUCACGCGAUCCCGACCUCAACACAAAGGAUGACAAUCAAUAGAUCAAUUAUGCCCCGACAUCCUAACAUAGCGGUUCACCAUACGUGCAUGCUACGAGAAUCAC
rnacentral:lncRNA from 1 species